rnacentral:lncRNA from 1 species
UCUGCAGCUUCACACUAUGUAACACACCUCCUCAGGGCACAGUGCAAACCUGUGCUGGGCUUUGCACAAAGUUAAUAUACAAAAGGACCCAAAGAAAGGAGCGUUAUCAGAUCCUCCAUAGCUCAGGAAAAUUGGCACCUUAAUCAAAUUUCCAGUCCAGAGCCUUUAAGCCACAGGAGUAUUUUUGCUACAGAGGUGCUGCCGGUUCCGAAACUGCAAGCAUCAUCCUUAAAACACAACCAAAUAAUACUCCACUGCAUAACCCACCUCUAAAAGCAUAGGAAAAGUGAAAUCUAAGGCUGAGGCAACCGCAGUAAGUUUGUUAAUUCCAUCCGCAUCCAUUCACUUUCCACUUUCAGGUACAAACACGGAUAAAUGCACACAUGAAUGACUAAAACAGAAGGCGUUCGGCAGAGGCCCAUCAUAGGGUUUCUCUCUUAAAGACACAAUCUCAAAAGACACACGAUCUCAAAGUCAGAGGAACCCUCCAGCUCCAUCCAUUUGCCCGCGCACAAAAUACUACAGCAAUAUAAAACCCCAUUUCCUCCGACUCCUUGCUAGUUCUAAAUUCAUCCCUGCACACGUCCUGGGCAAUUCUGACAGUCACUUAUCUUCAGUCUAUGAAAGCAGUACAAAAACUGCUAACUUCACGACUUAAAACAUGGCUUUGCAGCUGUCAGCUGGCGUACAGACUUAGACACCGAGCAACGUGCUGCUGAAGAUUUGGGUCUCCCAAAUCAUGCAGCACUGCCGGCAGCUCCUCGUGAGCCAGCCCCAUGCUUCAGCAUGACAAGGAGCCCAGCAUCUUAUCUGCAGCGCCUGGGAGCACAACACUUCCCCACCAGCAGUGAGGUAAGGAUUCCCAGAAAUAAGAGCUAUGUUUUAUCUGUCCUGCUUCCUCAGCACACAUGCUGUAUCACACAGAGACCGGAUACAGAGACCACAAAACCACCCAUGUGCCUUAAAAGGGAGGGAAGUAAAAGGGGGAGGAGGCAAGUCUACAAGUUUGAAUAAAGCAAAACAAGCUUGCCUAGUCCUCUGCUCAUUAACAAUAAAGCCAGCACAUUUGUACAAUAUCUGCUGCCUCAGCCCAAUGGUAACAAAAGCAGCAAACUGCCAUCGCCCUGCUGACAACCAGAUUGGCACAAUAAUGGCCAAAGCUGCUUCGUCCUGCGGAGGAUUUCUGCCUGGUGCAACAUCCCACCAGACACGAAGCACCCUGCCUACAGCGGCGGCAUCACACGGCCGAGUUCCGAUCCCCCAGGACCUGUCUUUCCAAAGACACCACACGGAUACCUCGGAAGCACAGGGAUUUGGCCAACAGAAGACGAGGACACUCUGAAAUACACAUCAGCAUCCCAGCUGAGCCAUCCCUGCCCUCUUUCAGUUCCUGGGACAGCGCUGCACCUUCAACACAGACUUGAGUGGCCGCACAGCUCUGCCCCUGCUUCCUCCAACACACGCACACAAGCUAAGACUUGGACCACAAACACAGCAGGGAAAAAAACCAGCAGCCCUUGAGAAAGUGGAGAGAAGCCUGCAAGCACUUACCACCACCUGAAGUUAAUGCUUUUCUAUGCUCAGGGUUCAUUUCCUCAAACCAUAAUUUAGACUAUUAUAACCUUUACCUUAUUAUGGCUUACCAUAAUAAGACUCCUACCUCUGCCAAAUAUAAAAAUCAAUAAAGAAUUUUGCAUAUUAUCAGUUUUUGCUUUACAGAUCGAUCCUGCCACACAAUUCCACGCACUGAUUCAUGACCUCUCAGUGGUCCUUUGCUGUUCCUCUGGUUCCACAGUUGCACUGUUUCUAUGAUGUCUUUCAUUAGAGAUCUCCAAGCCCCUGAUUAAUCACCUCUACUCAGUACUUCGCUUACACAAACAUUAGGCUGAAUCAGAUCUCUAAUGGAAUCUGUUCAGGAUAACCGGGUAAGGGAUGAAAUCACGCACCCCAAUGUUUCAGGCCUCUGAAACACUACAGAGCAUCCCCUUCCUACCAGAGACCAAACAAACCACCAUUUACAGAGCACAGUCAGCACCUUCAGCAUGCACAGAUGUCAGCAGAGAACAAUGACCUUUCCACAGGGCACAGCCACUCUAUCUACACGAAACAUACAGGGAGCAGGCCUUGAACAACCGCGAGAUCCAAAGAAUCUCUUGGCUUGUGCCCUUCCCUUUCUGAAAGAAACACACCCACAUUUUGAGCAUUUACACUGCUCAGUGCCUGCCUUACACAUACGCAUGCCCAUCAAACAGGCUCACAAAGAAAAGCAAUGGGAAGCAGAAUUACACUAAUGCAAUCCAAACCGGAGCUAACCUCGUUUGUGUGCAGGAGCGAUGAUGAAAGGGGUUGUCAGCAAGGAGAGAGAUAGGAAAGCAGAAUGUAUACAGAGUGAUAACAACAGGCUGCAGUUCUGGGGGGCUCCCAGCUGCAGAGCAACUCAGCAAAGAGCAUCAGAGCAAUAUACAUCACUCAGGCUCAGCAGGACCACCAACCCAACCGCAAGGAAUAGCCAGAGGGAGGGAGAGAGCAGUGCUGGCAAAGCAGCUCAAGAGAAACAGAAAUGUAAAGCCAUACCUCGUCUGGAAGGAAACCAGCACUGCUAGAGAGAGGCAGAGGAACGGCAGGGAGCACGGAAAGCACCUGAGGGGAGGGCUCCAGAGCCGUGCCCUGCUGGAAACUUUAAGCAGCCUUUUAGGCAAGUCAGAGUCAACCAGCUAUGUUUUCAGUUGUUGUCUGAGGAAGCAUCUAGUGGAAAACAGCGCGUUUAGCGGUUAAAGCAAGAGCUCAAAACCCGACAGCUUGUAAAGUUCCAUUCCCAACCCCGACAGUCGUUUGAUGCGUGACUUUGAACAACCGACUCCUCUGCGUUUCGGUUCUCUCACGUGCACAGGCGGACCUCGCUAAGGAUGCUGCCGAGCGGCGGGCUGUGCUGCAGGGCUGCUGCUACUGCCAGCGCGGGCACAGUCCGGGAGAUGGAGGGAGUUACGAUAACGAGAGCUGCUUGCUGAAAUUAGUCCUUUUGCAGCUGACAACACCAGGCACCCAGAUGCAUCUUGCAGACACAAACAAGCCGUAUAUUGCUACUGACCCUUGAGCACCACACAUCCAACCCCACACUGCUAGGCUCCCGCCCGAGGUACGAACGGCACAGCGGUGCCAAGGGAGCAGAGAGCCGGUGGGGGGCACGGCACGGCAUUGCCACCCCACGGCACGCACAGUGGGCACCGACGGACCGAACCCGCAGGGCUGCAGGACGAGGCCGGGCCCGGCACCACCGCCGCCCGCGUGCCGUGAGGUGACGGCUGUGAGAGCUCACCCCGCACAACCCGAACCCGCAGCCCAGAAAUACCGCAUUCUAGUAAAACAGAACCGGGAUCUGCCACGGGAUGCCGGGGGAGCGCGCGCAGCACCGAGCGGGGCUUUAUUCCCCGCGGGGAACACGGCCAGACGGGGCCAAACACCCCGCGCUGAGGCGCCCCGGGGGGGGCUGAGGUGACCCCCGCGCACCGCCCCCCACCCCCCACCCCGCUCACCUGCUCCGCACGCCCGUGCCCGCCGGGCUCCCGGCCCAGCCCGGCCCCGCUGCCGGCGGGCGGCCCCGCCCCGCGCUCAGGCACCGUCUGCAAAGCGCCGCCCGGGCCGCUCCGUCGGGCACCGUCUGCAAACGGCGCGCGCGCAGCCUGCGUGUACAAAAGGCGCGACGGAGAUGCGAUGCCCGCAGCAGCAGCCCGACCCGCCGGCCCGGAGUUGCCGCCAUCGCCAGCACGGCGCGCCAGGGCCGCAGCCCGAACGCUUUAAGCGCGUCAGGACGCUGCACACGUACCGCCCGAGGCCUCAGCCGUGUCCCAGCGCCCCGCGGGCCGCUCUGUGCCUCCUUACGCUUUCAGCAGCAGUUCGGUACCGAAGGAGCAUCUGCUCAUUUGAGAGAUGUCAUCUCGUGCUGCGCCCGGCGUGCUGUGGGGCAGAGAGCAGCACUGUGAGCCCGGAGCUGUGCUCGGACCGCUUCAGCCCCAGGCAUGGAAACAAACAUUUUUACAAGCCCCGAAACGACCAUUUUUCCUAAAGCUUGCCUGGCUGCAGGCGCGCCAUUAAGGUAUAAGCUCAGGUUUUUUCCAUGUUGUAAUCCAAGGAAAGCUCAUUAUUCUGGCGAUCUGACUCACUGGGUUCCCUGAACAUUCCCAGUUGGCAGUGCGGGAUAGCUCAGCAUCAGUACAAACUGUGACUGUCGAAACGUUCGUUCCUCAGCUCUGUUUGAAUCCACCACGUCUUAAUGUGACCUUUCAAAGCUCAGAAACUGCCUAUUUUAAAUUGUUACCCCUGACAUGUGCUGCGGAUAUUUUUAACAGACUGUUUACUGGAAUUCUGGUUUCUGUUCCGCUAUUUUUUUUCCUUCCCUUUCAACAGCUUCUCUGCUCACCAGCUCCCAGGCCCACACGCAGCACAGCGCUGCAGGACAUCUGCCUGCAAGGCAUUGGACAACACACUGCAGGGAGGGGGAAAGGGAACCGAAAGUCAGAAGGCAGUUGCAGUGCACCAGGGUAAGGAUGGGAGAUGUCCAGGAAGGGAAGGCGGGUUACUGCUUUCCCUCUGGGUUAUUGAGAGAAAAGUGCUAUGGGGUUUGAAGGAAAUUAACAGUCAGAGGUAUCCACGCGGCAUUGCCAGUGCAUCCAACACGAGGCAUGCUCUAGUAUUAAACCAGCACACCGUCUCUGUGCCCUCAGUUACCAGUCUUACAUAGCUCCUCCUCUCGGCAGUUAUCCGCACAUCACUUUGCAGGUUGUUUCUGUCUGCUCUGCUCCAGGUGCACCAUACUUGCAUGGUCUGCCCAGCAUCCCUCUGCACAGUGGACGUGGUUGGAAACACCAAGUGUAAAGCACCUAAACUUCUCCCUUCCUAAUCCUGCUCUACAGCAACUUGGUGCACAAGAACAUUGCUGCUGGUUGUAGCCUGGAUAGAGCACUGGUUGGCUUCUAGAGGGGAAGGGAACAGAGGGAGAAAGAAGAGGACAACAAGCAAAUAACGUCCCCAUGGCACCUUGUGUUUACAGCAUUGCCUGGUAAGAGUGCUUGCAGCUGCCCGGGGGCACCUGGAGAGAAAAGCACCGUGCCAGCCUGCAGCUCCUGAGCCACCUGGAUAUUGGCAAGUUUAGUAACUGACAGCAGGUAGGUACUCACUGCUUCUACGGGCAGAGAAGCGAGAAGGCUAGGAUUUUUAGCAUCUUACUCUAAACUUACUCAAAAUAAAUAAAUAAAAGAGAAAGAAAGAAAAAAGCCACAUUUAAUUGCACCACAAAGCAAACAGGAAGCCAGAGCAGUUUUAGGAGAGUUGAAACUAUUUGCUCCAUGUGGUUAACACUACCAAACAGGCGGGCAACCGCGUUUUUACAUCAGCUAUGCAGUUGGUCUGCAAAUAUGGCAGGUUACUUGCUCUUAUUUAAAAGUCAAAAGAAGUUUUCUUGGCCACAAGAUGCGAAAUAAGAUCCCGGCCACAAGAAGCGUACGGCAGCGAUCCCCGCCGGCUGCAGGAGGCGAGCGGCAGCCUCACCACUAAGAGCAGAGAGAACCCCUGGUCACACCAAGAGCACACACUGAGGAUCACCGUUUCUUUUUGCUUCUCACACGAAGCUCAGUGACAGCUCAAUGCUGCUGCAGGCUUCUCCUUCUUUGGGGGGGUUUCUUGGAACCCGUGUAUAUCAGGCCCUGGGCUCUCUUGAAGCUAGCAGUGUGCACACUGAGUGGAAGGGAGGAGAGCUGACGGCUUUACUAAUUAUGAUGAACUUCACAAACACUGUAACACCUCUGCAUCUUACAGAUGUUGGCUCAAGCAGGCAACAAGAGGAAGAACAGACCUUCCUCGCUCUGAAAAUCAGUGCCAGCGCUCUCAGGAAAGCACUGACUAAUCCAAACCAACUGCAGAUCCAACACUCAACCCUGCUGGUGAAAUUCAGAUGUGAAUCCACCAUUUUAACAUCAGGCUCUGUAUGAUUCAUACAGCAAUCCCCGCUGUGGUACGACGUUGGAGGUAGCGUGCACAGCCUGCUCAUCAGCAUUAUGGAGCAAACAUCCAUCCCAGGAAACCAGGCUCCCAACGAGCACUGGGAGCACAGCAGCACCAGCUCUGACAAAUUGCCAUUUGAAGGCAAUACAGCACUACUAACAACGUCUGCUUUUCAUUAUUAAGGCAUUCAGAAUACAUACACUCGUUUGUACUGCUUAACAAGGUUCUAGGUGGAAUGGUAACCUCUGCACACCCAGGCUUUUCCUCCUUCGUCCUUGACAUGUGAAAAAACUGA